CCCCUGCUUCUGAGUGACAGCAGCGUGGACAGCUGCCCACCCGGCCGGACCCGCAGUUGGGCCGCCCUCGCUGGGCAAUGCUGAGUAAGAGAAAUCAACCAAGAGUGUGAUUUUUGGCAACUGGAGUUGGAUUUGCCAGGAACGCAGCCGAGCUUCUGAGACUGUGCUUCCGGAAACAUCUCUCUUUUUUUUGGCCGCUUUCCAGAGUUCCAACUUGGCAGCCUCAAGGACACAGCGUAAGGUAUUUUGGAGAUCAAAGAUGGGUAGAAAGGACUCUUCCACUACAAAACUUCCUGUUGAUCAGUACAGAAAGCAAAUUGGUAAACAAGAUUAUAAAAAAACCAAACCUAUUCUACGAGCAACCAAACUAAAAGCAGAAGCGAAGAAAACAGCGAUCGGCAUAAAGGAGGUUGGCCUCAUGCUUGCAGCUAUACU
rnacentral:lncRNA from 1 species